AAGGCUAGGACGCCUUUCCCCUUCCCCCCAUCCCCACGGCAGCUCUAUGGCUGGGCCCCUCCUCCUGCCCACUCUCUGGUACCACCUAGAGAGCACGGGGCCCACUCCCCAAACCAGACGGCAUGCCCUCCCCUAGGCCAAGAGGACCCGUUAGUAGGCACUGGCUUUCCUGCACAUCCCCUCAACGGGGCUGCCCCCCACAGCAGGUGAGCCCCCACCAUGAGUUUGAGAGACCAGGGCUGCUGGGGCCUGGUCAUGCAGGGCCCGGACAGGGGGCUGUCCCGCUGUGAGGAAGCUCUUGGCUUACCCUCCUCUGAGCCUCAGAGCUUGUGAGGUUAGUUCCUGGGUUCCCUGGGUGUGGGCAACCUCUAGCCCUGUUCAUCCCUUGCGUUUCAACAGUACCCCCAGGUGACCCCCACCCCUGAUGUUCCUGCUUUUCUAUUUUUAUUGUUGCUAAAUCACAGCUGACACUUUCCUGGCCUGAGACUGAGCCCUCCAGUCUCCAGCCAUUCCUUAUAGGAAGUAAGAACAGGGAAGUGGAUAGGGGAAACAGACCUUUCCAGAGGGAGAGGCUGGCAUAGGAAGGGCUGAGUCCCGUGGGUGUGUGCUGGCACCGACAGCCCCAUAGGCAGGGGCCUUCCCCCCGGCACCCUUCUCUCUCCCCACAGCUUCCCCCGCCCCGGAAAAGCUAGCAAGCCUUCCUUCCUUCCUCCGGGAAGCACAUCUAUCCAGAGCAGGCUCAUCCCCGGCGGCCACACAAUGGCCCUUAUCAGCCGUGGAGCCAGGCGUAGACCCAGUGCACACCAGACUACUGAGACCGCUCUGCGGGUGGGUUCAGACCCCAUUCCUGUUUCUGGUCCUGUGGGAAACCACAGGUGCCUGGAACUUUGAAGAGACUGUACCACUUCUCUGAGCCUUGGCUUUCCCAUCUGCCCAAUGAAGGGUGCCAUGCAGUAACCCUCGUGAUGGCUGUGCAUGUGAGAAGGAACAGGUGGGCAAGUGAGGGCUUUGGAGGUCCCUAGGUAUAUGUGUUGGGGGCAGGGAUAGGUUACCAUGGGGGAAAACUCAGCAAGAAGGGGCUGAGGAGAAGUGGGGCAGAAAGAGAAGAUGGUGGCAUUCUGGACUGGUUAACGCAGGCAGAAGGCUCAACACCAGGGUAUGCAGAGCAGCGGGUCAGGAGGGAUGAACAAGAGCUCAUUUGACUUAACAGAGUACAUUAAGCGGCCACCGGCAUAGAUGGCAUGCUCCACCUGGUUAGGGCCCCAGAGGCUCACCAUUCUAGAACCUCAUCCUAGCCCCAGUCCUGGCCACUUCUGCAAAUCUCAGACACAGAAGUCUAGUUGGGAUCUACAGGGUCCCUGUUCCUGGAAUCUACAGCUAGUCCCAGGCCCAUCACCGUACCCCCACCCCCCAAUCAUCAGUCACACGCAAGUGUAAAAGCCACGCUAAUAAUUACCCCUGCACAAUGUAACAGUCACAAAACAGCCAGCCAUGGCCUGCUGGAAGCCAGGGGACAAUUCUUCAUACACAGGCUUGCGGGGGAGAGUAUGCAACACAGAGCAACUGGAGUAACCCUCAGUCCCAGGACACAGGAUGGCAGGACAAGCACUGAGCAGGCUCCCAGAGGUGUCUUCUCCUGGGAAAAGGGCUGCCGAGUGACCAUGGCGGAGGCAAGUGCUGGAUGUGGGGACAGGCCAUGUCCCCAAAGCCCCUAGAGGGUGUUCUCUGAAGAACCCCAGGGCCAGAUCCUCCAAAAUGUCUUGAGCUGGUUCUCCCUUCUGCCUGCCCCCACUCUGAGGUCCCGGGGGGUCCAGGGGGGGCCCGUCGUCAAUGGCUCCUGACAAGGGUGGCACAGACGCACCUCACCUGCCAAGGACCACCCUGGAAAAGUCUGUGGCCACAGCUCCUUGACCACUUGUCACCCCUUCCUCAGAUGGCAGGGUGGAGGCAU
rnacentral:lncRNA from 1 species